rnacentral:misc_RNA from 1 species
GAUGAAGAACGCAGCGAAAUGCGAUAAGUAAUGUGAAUUGCAGAAUUCAGUGAAUCAUCGAAUCUUUGAACGCACAUUGCGCCCUCUGGUAUUCCGGGGGGCAUGCCUGUUCGAGCGUCAUUAUAACCACUCAAGCUCUCGCUUGGUAUUGGGGUUCGCGGUUUCGCGGCCCCUAAAAUCAGUGGCGGUGCCUGUCGGCUCUACGCGUAGUAAUACUUCUCGCGAUUGAGUUCGAUAGGUCUACUUGCCAGUAACCCCCAAUUUUUACAGGUUGACCUCGGAUCAGGUAGGGAUACCCGCUGAACUUAAGCAUAUCAAUAAGCGGGGA